rnacentral:lncRNA from 1 species
UGGGCGUGUUGUUGGAUUUUUCUUUAUUAAUCGGUGGUAAUAGUAUACACAGCGUUUCUAAAUGACCCAAAUUUAAAUCAGACUCAUUUCUUCCGAACCAGAUCGCUUGUGUAGUCCAUCUCUGCUGGUUUUAGUGGCCUAAGCCGCCACUGCUUUGUGCACAAAGCUCUACAUCUGAACUCUGACCUGCAGAUCUAAAUGAUCUGUAAGUGAUCAUUAAAUGCCCAGUACCAGAUGUGGCAAAUGCCGAGUGGCCGUAGGUCCCCAGCUCAUCAACUCCUGCCCUCUACAUACCUUCACAGCUUCACAGUCAAAGGUCAG